GCCGCCGCGGUAACACCGGCAGCCCGAGUGGUGAUCACUAUUAUUGGGUCUAAAGGGUCCGUAGCCGGUUUAAUCAGUCUUCUGGGAAAUCUAAUCGCUUAACUAUUAGGCUUCCAGGGGAUACUGUUAGACUUGGGACCGGGAGAGGUAAGAGGUACUGCAGGGGUAGGAGUGAAAUCUUGUAAUCCCUGUGAGACCACCAGUGGCGAAGGCGUCUUACCAGAACGGGUCCGACGGUGAGGGACGAAAGCUGGGGGCACGAACCGGAUUAGAUACCCGGGUAGUCCCAGCUGUAAACGAUGCUCGUUAGGUGUCAGGAACGGUGCGACUGUUUCUGGUGCCGAAGGGAAGCCGUGAAACGAGCCACCUGGGAAGUACGGCCGCAAGGCUGAAACUUAAAGGAAUUGGCGGGGGAGCACUACAACGGGUGGAGCCUGCGGUUUAAUUGGACUCAACGCCGGAAAACUCACCGGGGGCGACAGCAAUAUGUAGGUCAGGUUAAAGGUCUUACCUGAAUCGCUGAGAGGAGGUGCAUGGCCGUCGUCAGUUCGUACUGUGAAGCAUCCUGUUAAGUCAGGCAACGAGCAAGACCCGUGCCCACUGUUACCAGCAUAUCCUUUAUGGAUGAUGGGGACUCUGUGGGGACCGCUGCUGCUAAAGCAGAGGAAGGUGCGGGCUACGGUAGGUCAGUAUGCCCCGAAUCUCCCGGGCUACACGCGGGCUACAAUGGUUGGGACAAUGGGUAUCUACUCCGAAAGGAGUUGGCAAUCUCUUAAACCCAAUCGUAGUUCGAAUUGAGGGCUGAACUCGCCCUCAUGAAGCUGGAAUCCGUAGUAAUCGCGUUUCAACAUAGCGCGGU
rnacentral:rRNA from 1 species